UACGUAGGUGACAAGCGUUGUCCGGAUUUACUGGGCGUAAAGAGCGCGCAGGCGGUCGAUCAAGUCGAGUGUGAAAGCCCCCGGCUCAACUGGGGAGGGUCAUUCGAUACUGAUCGACUCGAAGGCAGGAGAGGGUAGUGGAAUUCCCGGUGUAGUGGUGAAAUGCGUAGAUAUCGAGAGGAACACCUGCGGCGAAGGCGGGUUGCUGGGCUGACACUGACGCUGAAGCGCGAAAGCUAGGGGAGCGAACGGG
rnacentral:rRNA from 1 species